CGUAGGGUGCAAGCGUUGUCCGGAAUUAUUGGGCGUAAAGAGCUCGUAGGCGGUCUGUCGCGUCGGCUGUGAAAUCCCGAGGCUCAACCUCGGGUCUGCAGUCGAUACGGGCAAACUGGAGUGUUGCAGGGGAGACUGGAAUUCCUGGUGUAGCGGUGAAAUGCGCAGAUAUCAGGAGGAACACCGGUGGCGAAGGCGGGUCUCUGGGCAACAACUGACGCUGAGGAGCGAAAGCGUGGGGAGCGAACAGGAUUAGAUACCCUGGUAGUCCACGCCGUAAACGUUGGGCGCUAGGUGUGGGGCUCAUUCCACGAGUUCCGUGCCGCAGCUAACGCAUUAAGCGCCCCGCCUGGGGAGUACGGCCGCAAGGCUA
rnacentral:rRNA from 1 species